AAGCAAGUGUCUCAGGCCCAGACAACGGUGCAGCCCAGUGCAACCCUGCAGCGCUCGCCUGGCGUCCAGUCACACAGAAUUUAACACCAGCAGCACUGUUCAAGCUUUCCACCAUGUUGGAAGCAUUAGAACUAUGUCCUUACUAAUACUUGAUCAUAAGGCAUGUCUGAAGCAGAAGCAGCCUGCGGCACAUGGACUAUAAUUUUCACCACACCCUGGGAAGCAGAUGACAUCGCUCCGUUCAUCUCAUGGUGCGGUGCUUAUGCUGAGGCGAGGGAGGUUCUGGGACUCACUCCCGGCCAUGCCACCUGCACGGUGUCUGCCACGCCAUGCUACCACCUGCCGCUUACGUCCCUUGUCCGUAGUGAGAGCAUAGUUCUAGAAGGGUUCUGUAUCCACCCUGGUGGCUGCUGGUUUCUAGAACAGUGUUUUCAUCUGCAGAGAAAAGCGUGUCCCAGAGCAGCCUCAGCUUGUUCUGGGUGGCGCUGCCCAGACGGCCUCACUUGGGACGGCGACGGCUGUUCAGACGGGGACUCCUCAGCGCACGGUUCCAGGGGCAACC
rnacentral:sRNA from 1 species